AGAGAUUCCUUGGGAUAGGAGGUGGGUUUGUGAGUCCACAGGGGAGAGGAGAGCUAUUAAUGCUGGCAGAAUCUCACUCGGUUGUAAGGAGGUUCUGUAAUCUCAGGAGCUGCGUGCAAAAAUGACCACAUUCGGUGACACUCAAGAAGAGCGUUUUCUUCCCACGAGGACUUUCUGGAAGAUGGUGAAUUUAAGGGAGCACGGAGGAAGUUCUAUGACUUCUACCACUUGGAGAAAAAACAGAGAACUGAAAUCCAACUAAGCUUCUGGCUACUGAUGCACUCGAGAAGCAUGAGGACCUAGGACACUGUGACUUCCUUUAAAGUCUGUAAGAGUCAUCAGUCAGGGUCUCAGCAACAAGCAGACAG
ensembl:lncRNA